CUCCCUCUCUCUCUGUCUGCAGGGUGACUCUGGAGGUCCUCUGGUGUGCCCCAGCGACGGGCGGAUGACUCUGAUGGGGCUUAUCAGCUGGGGUGAUGGCUGUGGCAAGCCGGACACACCAGGAGUCUACACACGCGUCACACACUACAUUGACUGGAUCUCCAGCAAGAUGAGGAGCAACUGAGAGCACACACACACACACACACACACACACACACACACACACACACACGCACACACCAACGCACAUACGUCAUGACCUAAGGACGAUCUGACUCCAGGUACACUCAUAGGACAGUCUGCUCAGUAACUGGCCAACAUUAGGUAGCCAGCUCUAACACCCCCCCCCCUCACCCCCACCCAACCGAGGCCAGUUCCCCACCCUGUUACCCCCUAUGCCUAAGUGCCCUAUGCCAGCUCUAACACCCCCCCCCCUCUCACCCCACCCAACCGAGGCCAGUUCCCCACCCUGUUACCCCCUAUGCCUAAGUGCCCUUCCUUCCUCAGAGACCAAGCCCUCUUGCUGCGUUCUGCCUGGUCGGCCCUCGUUCCAAACGGCCCCCUCAACCCCUCCAUCUUUUAACGUUCAACAGAAGGGGUUGCCUCUGUGGAAUCCUCCCUGGUGGAACCUCACCACAAACAGUGUCACACUUCAUAUGAAGGGUCCUUGAUUACUAUUUACAUACAUAGCACUUCAUUUAUUGACAAGUACCAUGUACUUUUUAAUAUCAGUACAUAUUAUGACCAGAUGUACUUGGUGGACCACGUUAGGUUUAGGGUCAGGGUCAGUAUGAUGUAAUAAUAUCUACCUACAUGAGAAAUGCGUAUGGUUUUUAUUAUUAUGUAUGUACAGUGUAAUCAGGACACUUUAUAUGAAGGGGGGGCAGUGAGAUCCACCUGUGUGUGAAAGGGAGAACGCCAGUCUCUAAUCUGCAUCUGGGAUGUGGAUGCCUUUUUGGUGCAUGUUGGUGUUUGAUUAACAUCUGAUGCCUUGUAAAAAACUUGUCUUAAUCACCAAUCAUAGUGCAGUUUAGCUCUGUAUCUCUCUCAUGUGCAAAGGGAAAGGUAAAUGGACUGCAUUUAUACAGCGCUUUUCUACUCAUAGACCACUCAAAGCGCUUUACAGAUUAAUGCCUCAGACAUCUACCCAUUCACACACCGAUGGCAGAGGCUACUAUCUAAGGUGCCAACCCGCACAUCAGGAGGGUUGGGGUUCAGUGUCUUGCUCAAGGAACCACUAUCGCCCCGCGUCUCUGUAUUCUCUGCUGAGCAGAUCCAUAGGGAACCGCUGACGCCUGAGAGCCUAAUCUAAUCCAAUCCCGUCUGGGGUAGAUGAGCUCCAGACCUGCGCCAGCGUCGGGCUGCUGUCUCUGCAGUUGUGUGUCUGUAGAUCACCGCUACGAUGUAGGCUUGAGUCAUGUGUGUCUGUAGAUCACCGCUACGAUGUAGGCUUGAGUCAUGUGUGUCUGUAGAUCACCGCUACGAUGUAGGCUUGAGUCAUGUGUGUCUGUAGAUCACCGCUACGAUGUAGGCUUGAGUCAUGUGUGUCUGUAGAUCACCGCUACGAUGUAGGCUUGAGUCAUGUGUGUCUUUAGAUCACCGCUGGUCUCGCCUCAGCUACACUUACUUAUACGAUGUAGUCUUGCCAGCCCAGACAUGUCUGUGGCAUCACGUGCCGAGAUUUCACAGUGUGGGGACUACUCCUCAAAAAAGUGAACUAGAGGUGUGUCAAAAACAUAUACCAACAAGGCUAUGCCUGGAAGCUUGUUAAACCCCCCCGAUAUCUGCAGUUUCUUCUCCUUUUAACCAAAGACUUUCAAGCUUCCCUCUGAGCCCUGCCUGCCUUCCGGAAGCAUCUGAAUUGGGGGUGAAAUUCCAAAUGCAGUAAUGCUGUACUAGUUCCUAGGGUUGUCUCCAGACAGAUGUGAAUACAUAUCUGUAAUGAAUGAAUACAUAAAAUUGAGUGAAUGAAUGAAUGGAAAAUAAUGUAAUAUGAUAACCUGGCUAGCAAGACUAGUCAUGGAGUUAGCCCCCCCCUCCCCCUUCCCUUUCACGAUCUUCCACAAGAAUACAAGUGGAGUAUAGGACUGCAACUCAACAGAAGCUAUACGACCUCAAUGUGAUGUAUGUCUGUUAAUACACCCACUGAGGUAUGGUGCGGAGCGACAAACAGUGUAAAAAAAGAAAGAACUGUUACUAGGAGUGGGAAUGGUGUUCACCACAUACAUUUAUUGUAAGUAUUUAUUUUGUAAUUUAUGUAUUUAUAGUCUGUCCUGUAGUGUGCAAUCCUAUGCACAUUGUAGUGUCUCUCAAUAUUUUAAUUUAUUGUAUAUUUACGUCUGUCUUUUGACUUCAGUGGUAUCUCCUAGAUAUUCUGUCUGUUUUUUUAAAUAAACCUUUUUUAAAUGGAAUUAGACUUGUAUUCAUUAUUUUGUGCAAAUGUGAGUUUUAAACAAAUAUGCAAACGGGAAUUCUCUGUAGUCAAUAUACUGAACCAAACCCAGGAUCAAGAAACCAAACCAAGGAUCAAGGAAUUUAUAGCUAGAUCAUGUUACAACAGCACUUUAUAAUAAAACACUGGGGUAAGCAAUAUACAUUGUAAAAAUGUAAUUAAUCAUAGAUGCAAAGUACACUAUAUCAGUUGUAGAAAAUACAUAGAAUCACAUAGAAUGGGGAAUACUGAUAGAAUUAUGACUAGACU
ensembl:lncRNA